CUACUUUUUUAAAAUAUUUUAUUAAUCUCUUCUUUUACUCUAUGAAAUCCAUAUCUUUGAUACAUAACUUCACAUCUCCUAACUCACGUCUAUCUCCUUCACUUUUCACUCCUCAAAUUACGUUAUAUUUUCUCUCUCAUAAUCGUAUCAGUUUAUUUCAAGAUAUGUCUCUCUCCAUUCAAACGAUUUUUCAUUCCUUCUGGUAUUAUUUCAAUUUCGUUACUUUUCUUCAUAGUCAAUAGGUUUUUUUCUUGAUUCAAAAUUCUGUUUCGUUAUGAUGAUGCUCCCUUUUCCAGUAUAGAUAUUACCUAGAUAAUGGCAUCUAACACCAAUCAUGUUUAUGACCUUGAAGACGCAAGUUGGUUUGAGAAUAGAUCAAUGAAAUUGCAUUGAUCCCUUGUAACUGCCAACGUGAGUAUUGAGAAGUAGAGGAAGAAUGUGUCUUUUUCUUCAAAAGCGAAGGUUGAAAAAUCCCCUAAAAAGGGGUAGAAACAUGUCAUCUUCAAUUUUCCGUCCUAAUCUACCUAAGGACAAUUUUUUAGCAUUCGGAGCUAACUGACUGAUGCUUAUAAGGACAAGAAAACUGGAAGUCUUGAGACCAAAGCACCCUUUACUAGUUGAGCAUGUACAAGAUAUUAUUCACCAAGGAAGCAACACACUAUAUGUUUUAUAAACUUUUAUUUUAAUGUUUAUGUUCAAUUUAUUUUGUAUAAUGUAUCUUUUGCAUUUUGUAGGGACUGUGGUUUGUUUGUGGCCGCGUUUGCUGAAUUCCUUAGCGAGAAAUUCCAAUAAUAUAAUAAUUUUGUAUUUGAUUAUCUCCGCUUAAUAUAUGCAACAUAGUUAUGGAAAUAUGCAAUGAAAAGGCUGAAGCUUGAUAUGUUAGUGAUAAUGACAAUCCACCAAAGUCUAGGGGUCAUUUGACAUCAUCAGACCAUGAUGCGAUAGUUUUUGUGUAUCAAUAGAUACACAGUGUUUUUUUUGUUUUUACCAUUUUCAAGAUACGUUAAAAUAAGUGUAUGAGUAUUUCUCUAAAAUUUUAUUUUGUCUGACUUUUUAAUAAUAAUAUAUCUAUUUCUUGAA